AGUUUCACAAACACCAUUGCAUCCUUUCUCAUAUUUCCUCUCAUCAAUUUAACCCAACACUACAAACCUGACCAUCAUCGUGAACCAUGUCCUCCAACCCACAAAUCAUUGUGCAAGCACUAUGUGCCAUAGCUCCCAAACCCAAUACCUUAGAACCCUCUGUUGAUGGACGAAAAGAGGUGCGUACCAUGGAAAAUUUAGGGGGCAGUAUGCCACGGCGGAGUCUACGGGUGCGUCCAGGAAAAGAUGGACAUUUAGGCAUCGUCUCACUGAAACUAACAGAUGAAGAGAUUGCUGAGGACUUGUAUGCCAUGACCGGUGAGCUACCACGCGGACACCCUCGUCGGAGACUAUCCCAGGCACAAAUAAUGCUUAAUAAGCUGGUUCCUGGAGCACCCUUGGCCGGUAUGGCACCAGAGACUUACCCGAUGUGUCAAAAGAAGAACUAGCUUUCCUCGAUGGUACUCUAGUUCAUGCUACUACAUGUUGUGUUGUCUACAGAACCUAUAUUUACUUUAUAUUUAGUAUUCCUUAUAAAUCUAGUUGCUUACUUCAUUACAUGGGUGAGAAAAGUUGCAAAGGGCACUAACGGAAACAAAACAUACUAUCUGAUGAAUUCGUCUGCUUUUCAUGUACCAUGUUUUAGUCGAUGAAAUAUUAUUUAUUAAUUAGCAUGUGUUUUGGUUAA